GUUGGGUAGGGGAGCGUUCUGUAAGCCUGUGAAGGUGGCCUGUGAGGGUUGCUGGAGGUAUCAGAAGUGCGAAUGCUGACAUAAGUAACGAUAAAGCGGGUGAAAAGCCCGCUCGCCGGAAGACCAAGGGUUCCUGUCCAACGUUAAUCGGGGCAGGGUGAGUCGACCCCUAAGGCGAGGCCGAAAGGCGUAGUCGAUGGGAAACGGGUUAAUAUUCCCGUACUUGGUGUUACUGCGAAGGGGGGACGGAGAAGGCUAUGUUGGCCGGGCGACGGUUGUCCCGGUUUAAGCGUGUAGGUGUGUGUUCCAGGUAAAUCCGGUUCACUUUAACACUGAGGCGUGAYGACGAGGCACUACGGUGCUGAAGCAACAAAUGCCCUGCUUCCAGGAAAAGCCUCUAAGCAUCAGGUAACAUCAAAUCGUACCCCAAACCGACACAGGUGGUCAGGUAGAGAAUACCAAGGCGCUUGAGAGAACUCGGGUGAAGGAACUAGGCAAAAUGGUGCCGUAACUUCGGGAGAAGGCACGCUGACAYGUAGGUGAAGUG
rnacentral:rRNA from 1 species